rnacentral:lncRNA from 1 species
CAAGAUGAAAGAUUUGAGCACCUAUUCUUUGCAUGCCCAGUCAUAAACAGAUUAUGGUUCAGAAUAUGAAAAUGGAUAGGACACCAGAGAGCAGCAAACACUUGGGAGGAUGAGUUGAAGUGGAUACGCAGUAAUGCUAGAAGUAGGAACUGGCAGCAGGCAAUCAUUGCUACUGCUUUUGUUACUACUGUUGCAUUGAUAUGGAGAAACAGGAAUUCUAUUAGAUUUGAGAACAAGACUUUUGCUGAAG